rnacentral:rRNA from 1 species
UACGUAGGGUGCGAGCGUUGUCCGGAAUUACUGGGCGUAAAGAGCUCGUAGGUGGUUUGUCGCGUUGUCCGUGAAAACUCACAACUCAAUUGUGGGCGUGCGGGCGAUACGGGCAGACUGGAGUACUGCAGGGGAGACUGGAAUUCCAGGUGUAGCGGUGAAAUGCGUAGAUAUCUGGAGGAACACCGGUGGCGAAGGCGGCAUCCUGGACCGACACUGACACUGAGGAGCGAAAGCCAGGGGAGCAAACGGG